rnacentral:lncRNA from 1 species
UUGAUUUGGAUUAGGAUUUGAUUAGGAUUUAGGAUUAGGAUUUGGUUAGGAUUUGGUUUGGGGUUUAGGAUUUGUUAGGAUUAGGAUAUGGUUUAGGAUUUGGUUUAAGAUUUAGGAUUUAAGGUUUGGUUUAGGAUUUGAUUUAGGAUUUAGGAUUUGGAUUAGGGUUUGGAUUAGGGUUUGGAUUAGGGUUUGGAUUAGGGUUUGGAUUAGGGUUUAGGAUUUGAUUUAGGAUUUGGUUAGGGAUUGAUUUAAGGUUUAUGAUUUGAUUAAGGUUUGAUUAGAGUUUGAUUUAGGAUUUAGGAUUUAUUUAGGAUUUGAUUAAGGUUGGAUUAUGAUAAGGAUUUGGUUAAAAUUUAAGAUUCUAUUAGAUUUUUGUUAGGGUUUGACUAAGUUCUUUUUAAUAUUUUUUUAUAUUUUUUUAGGAUUUCUUUGUGUUUCUUUUAUAAUUUCAAUAAAAUUUAAUUGAGCUUGCUUAAUAUUUGAUUAUGAUUGUUAACGUUUAAUUGUAAAUUCUUUAUAGUCCUAUUGGAUUGUUAGGACCUUUUGUUGUAAUUUUGUUUUACCUUCCACAGCCAGGUGCUCGAUGCAUGCUCAAGCAAGACUUCAUGUAAUAUGACAACGUUUUAGUAGCUUAUAGAAUAAGCUAAUUAUGUAGGACACAUAUAAAAAACUUGUCUUG